UGGGGAAUAUUGGACAAUGAGCGAAAGCCUGAUCCAGCAAUGCCGCGUGGGUGAANAAGGUCUUCGGAUCGAAAGCCCUUUCGACGGGGACGAUGAUGACGGUACCCGUAGAAGAAGCCCCGGCUAACUUCGUGCCAGCAGCCGCGGUAAUACGAAGGGGGCUAGCGUUGCUCGGAAUUACUGGGCGUAAAGGGCGCGUAGGCGGCACCGCUCGUCAGGCGUGAAAUUCCUGGGCUCAACCUGGGGACUGCGCUUGAUACGGCGGAGCUAGAGGAUGGAAGAGGCUCGUGGAAUUCCCAGUGUAGAGGUGAAAUUCGUAGAUAUUGGGAAGAACACCGGUGGCGAAGGCGGCGAGCUGGUCCAUUACUGACGCUGAGGCGCGACAGCGUGGGGAGCAAACAGGAUUAGAUACCCUGGUAGUCCACGCCGUAAACGAUGUGCGCUGGAUGUUGGGUGGCAUAGCCACUCAGUGUCGCAGCUAACGCGGUAAGCGCA
rnacentral:rRNA from 1 species